CGGCGGGCUGGAUUUGCCUCAGCGGACCCGAGAAACUGACGCGCACAGUGGGGAACAUGCGUCUGGAAGAGGUACACAAAUGUUUCCUUUUUUUGCACAGUUUCCCUUUUGGAGGAAACAGACCCCACACAGUCCCUCAAAUGGCAUGAAAUUUUUGUUGACACUGCAAAAACCAUUUGGCGAGCCAAUUUAUGGGCAUUGAAAAUAAAAACUGACUUAGGCUGAACAUCUUUGAUGAUUGAACACGCAGACACUUGAUUUUUCAAUAAAGAAGUUUUGCGGAAAA
rnacentral:sRNA from 1 species